GACGAACGCUGGCGGCGUGCUUAACACAUGCAAGUCGAACGGAAAGGCCUGCUUUCCCUUGUGGAUUGCGGGUGCUCGAGUGGCGAACGGGUGAGUAACACGUGCGUGAUCUGCCCCCAACUUGGGUAUAAGCCUGGGAAACUGGGUCUAAUUCCCGAUAGGACUGCAGGGUGGUGCCUGUGGUGGAAAACGAUUUUCUAGUGGUUGGGGAUGAGCUCGCGGCCUAUCAGCUGGUUGGUGGGGUAAUGGCCUACCAAGGCGGCGACGGGUAGCCGGCCUGGGAGGGUGGACGGCCACAUUGGGACUGAGAUACGGCCCAGACUCCUACGGGAGGCAGCAGUGGGGAAUAUUGCACAAUGGGCGGAAGCCUGAUGCAGCGACGCCGCGUGGGGGAUGACGGCCUUCGGGUUGUAAACUCCUUUCGACCGCGAGGAAGCCACCUGGUUGGAAGGGUGGUGACGGUAGUGGGAGAAGAAGCACCGGCUAACUACGUG
rnacentral:rRNA from 1 species